ACGGCUAUCGCUUACAUUGCCUCGAUCUAUCUCCGUUAAUAGUGUUUGCUGAGCGAGGAUUAAACGAUCGUCCGGUUAUAUGCCUGUGUGCAUGCGGAAAAGUUCUGAGCGGUGACGUUAAACAGGAUGCAGUGACGGAGAUAGCGCAGGGGAGAGGGGCCUCCGAGUGCGCAUGUGAGUCAUCCGCCAUCUUAGUUUUCCUGUGACCACGUUUCUCAGAGUGAGAGCCAUUUAUUUUGUUUCCGUAUAUGCUCAAUGCCUUCAUUCAAUCCUAAUAAUUUCUGACAUGGAUUUAUGUUCUGAUUGUGAUGUCUCUUAGAGUUUAUGUCUGUUACUAAAAGAGAUUGUUGGUGUCAAUCACUGAUUCAGUCAGAACCUGUCAUCAUUGAACCUGGAAAAUCACACACACUGACAUGUACAGCCUCUGGGUUAGACUUUGAUAGCUACAGGAUGGAAUGGAACACAUACAAAUCUGGAAAAGUGCUGGAUGGGUUCAACCACAGAGUUGCAUUACGUUUCUGAUCAUGAAUAUUUUAUCUAUACUGGGUUUUAUUUUGAUGUUUACUCUAGAGUGUAAGACUGGCUCUUGAGAAACACUGAAUGUUAAACUAAUUUAUGUUUACUAAAUGUUAAAGUUUAAUUGUUUGUUUUCAGACUGUUGGUGUCAGACACUGACUGAAUCUGAGGCAGUGGUCAUCACACCAGGUGGAUCUCACACACUUACCUGCACGGCCUCUGGAUUUGGUGGUGAUUAUGACAUGUCCUGGAUCAGGCAGACAUCAGGAGGUGGUCUGCAGUGGCUGGCAUACAUCUCUGGUGGUGGUGGCACUACAUACUAUUCUCAGACUGUUUAGGGAAGAUUCACUGUCUCUAGAGACAACAACAAGAAACAGAUGUAUCUACGAAUGAACAAUAUGUAAAAUUAAGACACCGCUGUCUAUUAUUUUGCAAGAAAGACACAAUGGCAAAUAAUACUACAGCACUGUACAAAAACUGAACGCAACAAACAAGUUAUCAAAUGCCUGCAAACUUAUAAAAUAUUUGUCAUAGUAGCUUAAUAUACAGAUGACAAACACAUCAAAGAUAAUAUCAAAGUUUCAUAUUCAAGUUCAAGAAACAGUGAAGAUCUCCUGUAAAAUAUCUGGUUUUAAAAUGACAAGCUUCUACAUGCACUGGAUAAGACAGGAACCUGGGAAACCUCUGGAGUGGAUUGGAAGUGUUAACUCUGGUAGUAGUGCUGUGACAUAUGCAGACUCAAUGAAAGAUCAUUUUAUUCUGAGUGAGGACAUUUCUGCAAGAACACAAUAUCUUGAAGCCAAGAGUCUGAGAGAAGAGGACACUGCUGUAUAUUACUGUGCUCGAGAGUCACAGUGACUUGAUCUUACGAUCUCAACUCCACAAGAAUCAUCCAUCUUUAACUUAGUGUGACUUCAUUGUAAUUUGUGACUCCAGGUGAGAUAAUGAAUAAUCUGUACAAAUCGAUACAUUGGUAUUUUGUUGAACUGGUGAAGAGAUGCUUACAUUGUACAGUAAUUGUAAAUAAAAAUAUGAUGUU